rnacentral:rRNA from 1 species
CCUACGGGAGGCAGCAGUGAGGAAUAUUGGUCAAUGGGCGCGAGCCUGAACCAGCCAAGUAGCGUGAAGGAUGACUGCCCUACGGGUUGUAAACUUCUUUUAUAAAGGAAUAAAGUGAUGCACGUGUGCCUUUUUGUAUGUACUUUAUGAAUAAGGAUCGGCUAACUCCGUGCCCGCAGCCGCGGUCAUACGGAGGAUCCGAGCGUUAUCCGGAUUUAUUGGGGUUAAAGGGAGCGUAGAUGGGUUGUUCAGUCAGUUGUGAAAGUUUGCGGCUCAAACGUAAAAUUGCAAUUGAUACUGGCAGUCGUGAGUACAGUUGAGGUAGGCGGAAUUCGUGGUGUAGCGGUGAAAUGCAUAGAUAUCACACAGAACACCGAUUGCGAAGGCAGCAUACGAAUCCGCGAUUGACGCUGAUGCACGAAAGCGUGGGUAUCAAACAGGAUUAGAUACCCGGGUAGUC